rnacentral:piRNA from 1 species
UCCUUCUUGAGGCUGAUAUGUUCUGUGAC